rnacentral:rRNA from 1 species
ACAACAGUUGGAAACGACUGCUAAUACCGCAUAAUGCAGAGAGACCGCGUGAUCUUUCUGCCAAAGAUUUAUCGCUGUAAGAUGGCCUCGCGUCUGAUUAGCUAGUUGGUGGGGUAACGGCCUACCAAGGCGACGAUCAGUAGCCGGACUGAGAGGUUGACCGGCCACAUUGGGACUGAGACACGGCCCAGACUCCUACGGGAGGCAGCAGUGGGGAAUAUUGGGCAAUGGGCGCAAGCCUGACCCAGCAACGCCGCGUGAAGGAAGAAGGCUUUCGGGUUGUAAACUUCUUUUAAGUGGGACGAUAAUGACGGUACCACUUGAAUAAGCUCCGGCUAACUACGUGCCAGCAGCCGCGGUAAUACGUAGGGAGCAAGCGUUAUCCGGAUUUACUGGGUGUAAAGGGCGUGUAGGCGGGACAGCAAGUCAGAUGUGAAAACUAUGGGCUCAACUCAUAGCCUGCAUUUGAAACUGUAGUUCUUGAGUGCUGGAGAGGCAAAUGGAACUCCUAGUGUAGCGGUGAAAUGCGUAGAUAUUAGGAAGAACACCAGUGGCGAAGGCGAUUUGCUGGACAGUAACUGACGCUGAUGCGCGAAAGUGUGGGGAGCAAACAGGAUUAGAUACCCUGGUAGUCCACACCGUAAACGA